rnacentral:rRNA from 1 species
UACGAGGGGGGCGAGCGUUGUUCGGAAUUACUGGGCGUAAAGGGCGCGUAGGCGGCGACUCUAGUCAGAUGUGAAAGUCCUGGGCUUAACCUGGGGACUGCAUUUGAUACUGGGUUGCUUGAAUUCGGGAGAGGAUAGCGGAAUUCCCAGUGUAGAGGUGAAAUUCGUAGAUAUUGGGAAGAACACCGGUGGCGAAGGCGGCUAUCUGGACCGACAUUGACGCUGAGGCGCGAAAGCGUGGGGAGCAAACAGG